UUUUAAUUUUAUUUGGAAAGAAAAAAGUCACAGAUCAAAGUUUGCGUUCAGCUUCUCCCAAAAAUAAAACACACUGCGUUUUCUACCGAUCUCUCUCUCGAUUCUAGGUUUUGCUCUCUCUCGAUCUCUCUCCCGAUCUCGUUUCCCUCUCAAUUUGGAUCUCGCUUCCGAUCUCGAUUUCUCUCUCUCUUUGGAUCUCGUUCUCACUCUCGAUAACACGUUCUCGUCGAGGUUUUCUAACUUGAUUUUGACAGUAUUGAUUUUGACAAUACUUGAUUUUGAAAGUUAUCUAACUUGAUUAAAGAAACUUUGAGGCAAAAUCUCUUCAUUUUGGGUACCUUGGACACAAGUGAGCAAGUCAAGGCCAUUGUUGUUAAUCGCUGACUUUGUCGACAGAAACCGUAAGCUUUUCUCAGGGAUCAGUGCAUUUUUCCUUAGCCUGAUAUCUUAGUAUGACAAUCCGAGGUAGAGGAGGUACGUAGACGGAGUCAAGAGAGUGGUCGCAAUCAACUUCACUCUUCACCUUUGCGAGGUGUGCAUAUUGACCGGAACAAAAGGCAAAGGUUAGGGAUGGUUGAUGCAUUAAAGCAUAAGCAUAAAUUCACUUAUGAUUUUGAAGAUCUCUAUGAUGAUAUUGAAGAUGAAGAGACGCAAUUAAUCAAGAAGAGAAAUUAUCAACGACAAUUACUCAAGCGCCAAAAAAUUGAUGCAUAUAAUGUAAAAGAAGGUAAAGGAGUGAGUUUUGAAAUUUCCAACAAUAUGGGACAAUCUAGUAGAAGAAUUAUAUACAAUCAAGGGAGAGAGCGUAAUGACCGACCAGAACCUUCUCAGUCUUGCACUAGUCCAGCACCACCACCUCCACGUGCACAAUUCUGUAGAGGUAUCUCUUCCACAAAACUUGAACCACAUUGGUCAAGUCACUAAGAUGUGUCUUUAAAGGGAAAAAGAAUCUUGAAAUUCUAUAAACAGUUCUCUUCUGUUUAAUUUCCAACAGUAUAUAAUAGCCAGAGCUUGAUAGAGAAUUUGAGAGCAUAUUUAACUGAGUUUUCAUCAAAUUUAACAGAGGUUAUCCCUCAAGUUUCUUGCCUUUUCUUCAGCAGAAAAUUGUUAUAUACUUGAACUUUGUCAUGUUAGAAACUAUAUUUCAUUCAAAGAUGUGUUUGUGUCCGAUGUUUGUGGUCGACACUAAGGGUCAUGGUCCCAAAGGAAUGAAGGCAGAGGUAUGGGGCGGUUUGGUUGACAUUUGAUUGAAACCAGAGUGGAAGAAGAAAUCCGAUGCAAAUCGUUGUAACAGGGCUGCCUUACCUGAUGCAGUGUUGCACACAUGGGGUUCUAUUAACUUAGGUGAACAUAAGAAAAGGAUGGUAAGUUCUGAUGAGAUUUUAUGUGUUUAUAGUUGUCCUGUUUAUCAUCUUAAAAUGUUUCGAAGCAAUAUCUAUUUCAAUUCUUUAAACGCAUAUUUGCCAUGAGCUGCCAAUUUAGAAUAUUUUGGAUGUCUUUAAGUUUUCGGAGUCCUUGAAAAUUAUUUGGAACUCUUCUGAUUGUAAUCAGCAUUCAGUCUUAUGAAGCAUUGGUGUAUUAUGAUAUGAUUUUCAUUAGUGGUUCUCUGGAUCUCUGAUCUGCUACUAAAUUUAGUUUAUUUGUCAUGCUGACUGAGGGAGAAGGAACUGAAGUUAUUCAAAGUUGAUGACUUGUUAUUGUAUUCAAGUGUUUCCUUGAUCUCAGUAUUAGGAGGAGGAGUUGAAACAUACAGUUUCGUUUAGAGACGUGUAUGCUCGAGUUCAUAAGAAAAAAGAUGGAGAAUAUGUCUUUCAACGGUCGAAGUUAUUUGUUGAGUCAUAUGACACGGCUAUAGUGGAAAAGUAUGGAGAAAACACAUUUGGCGCCGAUGUUGGAGCCAAUCCUUUCAUUGAUUCAAUCCAUGCCAAAAGCACCCAUGCAAAGUGAAGUACCUGAAAAAACUCAUGGAGAUACAAGGUGAAAGAAUGUUUUCCAAUCUAUUUCGAAAACCGGAGUUAAUAUGGAACCUGAGUUGUGAUUUCUGAAUUGGAAAUAAAAUAGAAUAUUAUUGUGAUGUAUAAUGUUUUCUGAAUUGGAAAUAAAAUAGAAUAUUAUUGUGAUGUAUAAUGUUUUAGUGUUGUUAAAUAUAUUAAAAACUUGAUUUUUGAAUAUUAUUGUGAUGUAUAUUGUUUAAGUGUUGUUAAAUAUAUUAAAAAAAUUAAUUUUUUGGGUUAUUUAAUUAUUAGUGUAUUUUUUGAAUAUUAU